CGAAGAACCUUACCAGGCCUUGACAUGCAGAGAACUUUCCAGAGAUGGAUUGUGCCUUCGGGAACUCUGACACAGGUGCUGCAUGGCUGUCGUCAGCUCGUGUCGUGAGAUGUUGGGUUAAGUCCCGUAACGAGCGCAACCCUGUCCUUAGUUACCAGCACGUUAUGGUGGGCACUCUAAGGAGACUGCCGGUGUUAAACCGGAGGAAGGUGGGGAUGACGUCAAGUCCUCAUGGCCUUUAUGACCAGGGCUACACACGUACUACAAUGGCCGAUACAAAGGGCAGCGACACUGCGAGGUGAAGCCAAUCCCGUAAAAUCGGUCUCAGUCCGGAUUGGAGUCUGCAACUCGACUCCAUGAAGUUGGAAUCGCUAGUAAUCGUGGAUCAGCAUGCCACGGUGAAUACGUUCCCGGGCCUU
rnacentral:rRNA from 1 species